rnacentral:rRNA from 1 species
GACGAACGCUGGCGGCGUGCUUAACACAUGCAAGUCGAACGGAAAGGCCCUGCUUUUGUGGGGUGCUCGAGUGGCGAACGGGUGAGUAACACGUGAGUAACCUGCCCUUGACUUUGGGAUAACUUCAGGAAACUGGGGCUAAUACCGGAUAGGAGCUCCUGCUGCAUGGUGGGGGUUGGAAAGUUUCGGCGGUUGGGGAUGGACUCGCGGCUUAUCAGCGUGUUGGUGGGGUAGUGGCUUACCAAGGCUUUGACGGGUAGCCGGCCUGAGAGGGUGACCGGCCACAAUGGGACUGGGAUACGGCCCAGACUCCUACGGGAGGCAGCAGUGGGGGAUAUUGCACAAUGGGCGGAAGCCUGAUGCAGCAACGCCGCGUGCGGGAUGACGGCCUUCGGGUUGUAAACCGCGUGCGCCUGGGACGAAGCGUGAGUGACGGUAAUGGGUAAAGAAGCACCGGCUAACUACGUG